AUUGGUUCAUAGGGAGGAUACGGCCGGCCCCCUCCCUAGGAUUGGCUGAUCUCUGCAGGGCGCGGCGUUCGAUUGGCCUCCCGCUCAGCUUGCUUGGAUUGGCUCAGGUUUUUCUUCCCGGCUCCUCCUCCUCCUCCCCGCCUCAGAGCACAACACGCCAGCGCGAGGGCCUGGAUGUCAAUCACGAGGCCUGUGUCGUGCUGAUUGGAUGUGUCCGCCCCCUUCUCCUAAAUCAAUUGGCUGCGGGGAGGAGUCAGGAUGAGGGGCGGGAAGUCGUCCGUCAAGUUUGAAAGCAGCUCUAAUUGGUUGCAAGGUUGUUUCCUGAUCCUUGUAAUAGUUCCCCAAGUGCCUCUGCUUGGCAUAUCUCUAAAACUCAGUGCUCUCUGGAUGGAAGAAGGAAAGGCGGAAUCAGAGACAAGUCACCAGCACCAUGCAUAGCAGAAGUGACUGAGCACGGGGCUGUCCUGCCUCCAGUUAAGUGAGAAAGCAGACUGUGGGGCACUCUCCUCUACCUCCGUUUCUUUGGUGUUGCAAGGAUUCUGUAGCUGUAGAAGCUGCAGAAGAAGCUGCGCUUUACCCUAACUUGAUUACAUCUGUCAUGGCUACUCAUUAGAGCUCUGUUAUGCUUCUUAGAGAGUAAACUUCCCCGACCACCCUUGCAGAAUGCUUAGGUGAGCCUCUUUAAUUUUGUUCAGACCCUGCCCUUUUAUUUUAAAAAUACUUACUUGGGUCUCCCUCUCUGAAUUUCUCAGUGUUUAGCACUCAUAACGCACUCCAUAGCCUUUUGCUGAAUUAGUAGAUGAAUAGUCCCAGCAAUGACUUGCGUUGAAAACUUGAGCACCACGUUUUCAUGAAUUGGGAAGCCAGAUCUAUCUCUGCCUGCCUAGGUGAAGGAAAUUAAGAUAAAUCCAAACUUGAAGAGAACGUGGAUGUGCACUGCACCCCAACAGAAUGGUAUGAAGCAAGAAAGGAAGAAAUGGCUUAUAAAAAGGCAUAUUCUGUUGGAGAGAUGGCUCGGCAGUCAAGAUAACACUUUCCUGCAGAGGACUUGGGAUUCUGUUCCCAGCAUCCACAUGGUGACUCACAUGCCUGUUAACACCACUUCCAGGAUAUCUGACUCCCUCAUCUGGCCGCUGCUGGUGCACUUAUACUAACACAUUCACAUACUUUUUUAAAAAAUGCAUAGUUUUAGGGUCACAUAGACUUAAGAAAGUGAAACCUGGGAAGCUGCAUUUGUCCAGAUUUUUCCUAACACCCCCAUACUCUUUUGAGUUUGUUAUUCAUGCAGAGCUUUGCUAUUCCACGUGGGCCCUGAAUGUGGACCUGCUUCUAGCCUUAUCAGGAAUCUGUGUGUUUGUUAAGAUGCAGCUUAUCUAAGUGGUCCCCAAUUCUACUUCUAACAAGCUCCCAGGGCAUGCUGAUGGCCCCAAGAACAUAGAGUGGUGACUCUCAGGCUUAGCUGCACUUUAGAAUCACCUGGGAAGUUGGGGUGAGGGGUAGGGGAUCCAAAUACUCAGGCUCAUGCUAGAACAAUUACAUCAACCUCUGGAGGCAGGAACAGGCUACCAUUCUUUCCCUGAGAUAAUUCCAAUGUGCAGCUAAUGUAAAGACCACUCACCAAAAACUCUCCUCAAAGCAUGGUCCUUUAACUAGCAUCAAAAAUAACACAUGGAAAUGCACUUUUCUUUUUCAUCACAGGGAUAUUUGAACCCAGGGCUUCACAGGACAGGAAAAUACCCUACUAUUGAGCUAUUCCCCCAAUUGUCUCUCACCUCUUUUUUUGGCAGGGUUUCAUAUAGGACAGGCUGGACUUGAACUAACUUUGUAGCAGAGGACGACCUUGAACUCCUGGUCUUCCUGCUUCCAUUUCCCAAAUGCUGGGAUUACAGGAUCUUAGCUCUGAUCUAGCUGCAGCCUCUGCCUACGUCAGCCUUCAGAUGCCAGUUCAAAGGACACCUGCUCCAACGGCAGCCAGACGCAAGGGCCAGGUCAAUGGGGAUCUUCCCACAAGACCAAGGGGAGGAGAGAAGCAAGAGAUGUGUGUGAGACAUCCUCUCCAGUAUCUGUCCCUUCCCACUGAGCCCCCAUCCAUGCCAUGUCAUCAUUUCUAGACCCUGAGGCUUCAUGGUCUAGUGCUCCAGUUCUUCUGGAGCCAGACUCCUCUCC